rnacentral:rRNA from 1 species
UAGGGAAUCUUCGGCAAUGGGGGCAACCCUGACCGAGCAACGCCGCGUGAGUGAAGAAGGUUUUCGGAUCGUAAAGCUCUGUUGUAAGAGAAGAACGUGUGUGAGAGUGGAAAGUUCACACAGUGACGGUAACUUACCAGAAAGGGACGGCUAACUACGUGCCAGCAGCCGCGGUAAUACGUAGGUCCCGAGCGUUGUCCGGAUUUAUUGGGCGUAAAGCGAGCGCAGGCGGUUUAAUAAGUCUGAAGUUAAAGGCAGUGGCUUAACCAUUGUUCGCGUGGGAAACUGUUAAACUUGAGUGCAGAAGGGGAGAGUGGAAUUCCAUGUGUAGCGGUGAAAUGCGUAGAUAUAUGGAGGAACACCGGUGGCGAAAGCGGCUCUCUGGUCUGUAACUGACGCUGAGGCUCGAAAGCGUGGGGAGCAAACAGG